CAAUAGCGUAUAUUUAAGUUGCUGCAGUUAAAAAGCUCGUAGUUGGAUUUCGGGUGGGAAUGGCCGGUCCGCCGUUUCGGUGUGCACUUGCUACGCCCACCUUGCUGCCGGGGACGUGCUCUUGAGUUCACGCUCGGGACACGGAGUCGGCGAGGUUACUUUGAGUAAAUUAGAGUGUUCAAAGCAGGCCUACGCUCUGAAUACUACAGCAUGGAAUAACACGAUAGGACUCCGAGCCUAUUCUGUUGGUCUUCGGGACCGGAGUAAUGAUUAAGAGGGACAGUUGGGGGCAUUCGUAUUCCGAUGUCAGAGGUGAAAUUCUUGGAUUAUCGGAAGACGAACAUCUGCGAAAGCAUUUGCCAAGGAUGUUUUCAUUAA
rnacentral:rRNA from 1 species